UCCUCAAAUCGAAAUAACGGCACUUUAAUUCUUGGAUUUUCCACAUUUUCGUUGGUAAAGCUCCUAUUUGCUUUCUCUGAAUCUGUAUCAGUUCAUGCAGUUCUGCCAAGUGGGGAAGCUUUGCAGGACACUGCCACUGUAGCACUUGAAAUAUUAAGAUGAACAGAACAAGCAAAAGGUGGGAAAACUGGAAAGAUUGAAUGUCCUUUGGAGUUCACAGAGGUUUGGCAGUGGGAGGAGAAAAACAAAACGAAGCAUAGUGGGAGUGUUGAACAGACUUUCCCAAGAUCCCCAGGAUCAGUGGAGUGUUGCUGUUCUGGCCAUAAACCUCUGUGGACAGUGGCUCCUUUGCCAGGGUUUUGCUUGGGCCUACUGGGCUAGUUCUGCUCACUCAGCCUGCCAGGCUGUGCUCAGCACACACUACAUGCCUGGAUCCCAUGUCUGCCAAGGGCUAGUCAGGGGUGGAGCAGUGAGGGGUGUGUGAGUGAACAUGAAGUCUGGCCACUGCAGCUGGGUGGGCAGCUCCAGGUGCCGGCAUGGGCACCAGCUCUCUGUGAUGCUGUGGCUGAACCAGAUGCACUGCAAGCAGCUUCCACAGCUGGCACUGGAGGACGUGGUGACGCCCAGAAGCUUGGAGAUGCCAGGAACCACAGGGCCCCAAAGAGGAAGUGACAGCCCUGGCUAGAGGAGCUCCCAGAUCUAGGCUCCCUGAAGGCCCACAGCUCUUCUCUCCUCUUUGUCCGCAAUGUGGUGAGCAUGGGACAUGUUUCAGCCCUGUUUGUUUUACAGCUGUUUUAGCCCUGCCAUCCAACAGGUCCCAAGUUCUUGUCCUGCGACCAGGAAGAAUGAGAUACACAAAGAAGUGGAGGGUGAGCAAGAUGAGGAAUGGGUGUUCAGCUCUGAGCUGAAAGGAGACCCUGGAGUGGGAAGCUCCUCUCUACAGGCAGGUCAUUCCAUUGUCUCUGCAGCUCUCAGCAGAGAGGAGGCCUUGGUAUGGGUAGUACCUCUCUGCAGCUUGUCGUCCUGAUAUCCGCUCAGCUCUGGCUGAGCCCAGGGCUUUUAUGGGCCUCAGAGGGGAGAAAGUGCAUGCCAAUUCGUCCAUGGGUGGCCAUGGGCAGGCCCAGAAAAGGGACCACAAUUUUCCACUCUAGUGUACAGGACUGGCAGCCUAGUUUCCAGCCUUCAGACCCUCCCUGGCCUGAAGGUGGGGCCUCACCGGGGACCUGCCCCCUUAUGCCCAGGAACCUAUCUACCUCCUGCUGCUAUUCAUGGCGCCCAGACUAUCGGUGCCAAGGUGCAGCUGCAGGCCAGCACCGAGCUGCCCUCAGUGCCCCCUCAGCUUCCCUCCCAUGCUUGUCAGUGCCCAAAGUCCAGAGGGGGCUGAGGGGGCAGUGGGUUGGUGUGUCCAAACAUGUGCACAGUCAGCGGGGCUAUGACAGCACCUGGGCUUGGCUCUGACUUUGCUCCAAGAUCAAAACAGGUGCUGACAGCAGGGAGAAGCCAGCAAGCAAGAGCAGGCACUUCCAAGCCUGCAAGGUCAGGGGAGGCCUUCCCAGGCCCCCAAGAGAGCAGAGAUGCAGUGAU
rnacentral:lncRNA from 1 species